rnacentral:rRNA from 1 species
UGGGGAAUAUUGGACAAUGGGGGAAACCCUGAUCCAGCGACGCCGCGUGGGUGAAGAAGGCCUGCGGGUUGUAAAGCCCUUUCGGUGGGGAAGAAAAGUUGUCGUUUAAUAAACGAUGACCUUGACGUAACCCACUAAAGAAGCACCGGCUAACUCUGUGCCAGCAGCCGCGGUAAUACAGAGGGUGCGAGCGUUAAUCGGAAUUACUGGGCGUAAAGCGCGCGUAGGCGGUUUGGCAAGUCGGAUGUGAAAUCCCCAGGCUUAACCUGGGAACUGCAUUCGAGACUGCUUUACUAGAGUAUGGGAGAGGGAAGUGGAAUUUCCGGUGUAGCGGUGAAAUGCGUAGAUAUCGGAAGGAACAUCAGUGGCGAAAGCGACUUCCUGGACCAAUACUGACGCUCAUGUGCGAAAGCGUGGGGAGCAAACAG